rnacentral:rRNA from 1 species
AUUGAACGCUGGCGGCAGGCUUAACACAUGCAAGUCGAACGAGCGGCGGACGGGUGAGUCAUGUCUGGGAACCUGCCUGAUGGAGGGGGAUAACUACUGGAAACGGUAGCUAAUACCGCAUACCAUCAGAUGUGCCCAGAUGGGAUUAGCUAGUAGGUGGGGUAAUGGCUCACCUAGUCGACGAUCCCUAGCUGGUCUGAGAGGAUGACCAGACACAAGCGAACUUCGACACGGGCCAGACGCCUAUGGGAGGCAGAAGUGGGUAAUAUUGCAAAAUGGGCGAAAGCCUGAUGAAGCCAUGCCGCGUGUGGGAAGAAGUCCUUCGGGUUGUAAAGCACUUUCAGCGAGGAGGCGUUACUCGCAGAAGAAGCACCGGCUAACUCCGUGCCAGCAGCCGCGGUAAUUC